rnacentral:rRNA from 1 species
GCAUUUGCAACCUGAUCUCACACGUGAUUACCCGCUG